GACGAACGGUGCAAGCGUUGUUCGGAAUCACUGGGCUUAAAGGGCGCGUAGGCGGCCACGCCAGUCUGGGGUGAAAUCUUUCGGCUCAACCGGAAAAUUGCCUGGGAUACUGCGUGGCUCGAGGGAGGUAGGGGCGGUCGGAACUUCCAGUGGAGCGGUGAAAUGCGUUGAUAUUGGAAGGAACGCCGGUGGCGAAAGCGGACCGCUGGAUCUCAUCUGACGCUGAGGCGUGAAAGCUAGGGUAGCGAACGGG
rnacentral:rRNA from 1 species